GAUGAACGCUGGCGGCGUGCUUAACACAUGCAAGUCGAGCGAGUGAGUUCUUCGGAACGAUCUAGCGGCGGACGGGUGAGUAACACGUGGGCAACCUGCCUCAUAGAGGGGAAUAGCCUCCCGAAAGGGAGAUUAAUUCCGCAUAAAAUUAUCGAGUGGCAUCACACGAUAAUCAAAGGAGUAAUCCGCUAUGAGAUGGGCCCGCGGCGCAUUAGCUAGUUGGUGAGGUAACGGCUCACAAAGGCGACGAUGCGUAGCCGACCUGAGAGGGUGAUCGGCCACAUUGGGACUGAGACACGACCCAGACUCCUACGGGAGGCAGCAGUGGGGAAUAUUGCACAAUGGGGGAAACCCUGAUGCAGCAACGCCGCGUGAGUGAUGAAGGUCUUCGGAUUGUAAAGCUCUGUCUUUGGGGACGAUAAUGACGGUACCCAAGGAGGAAGCCACGGCUAACUACGUGCCAGCAGCCGCAGUAA
rnacentral:rRNA from 1 species